CGCGGGAUGUCUGUUGGUAGGCCGCUCGGUUUCAUACGCCGAUGCGACGACGGUUCGAUUCCGUCUCCCGCAACCA
rnacentral:tRNA from 2 species